rnacentral:lncRNA from 1 species
AGCGCCAAAUCCAACAUUGUUACGUACUUACAGUUACAACCCGAAACCGCUGUACACGCCAUGACACGCCACGGCAUGGCAUGACACGCCAUGACAUGCCACAACACGCCACGGCACGCCAAGGCACGCCAAAGCACGCCAUGACACACCAUGACACGCUGUGACAUGCCACGACGCCCCUGAUCCCCCCAAGCCCCGGGGCCCUGGCUCAGUCCCACCGGCGCUGCCAGGGCGUCACAGCGAGGGGCACCCCUACAUUCAUGGGGGGGUCCCAGGGGUGGGGGGCAUGGGAUGGGCCCCCCCCAGGCCCAUGUGUGCCCCCACCACCGUCCAACGGUGAAACGAAGCAAUAAAUUAACGAGGAUCCCAAGGGGAUGGUGACAAAAGGGGGGUUCGGGGGGGUUGUCACAGGUUCAGGGGGGGUCAGGGCACAGUUUGGGGGGGGGUUGUACAAAAGGGUCUGUAGAAAAUGGGGUCGGGGCUGUUCCUGUCGCGGUGCCGGUGCCAGGGGCGGGGACUCGGGGUGGGGGACCCAUGGGGAGAGGUGGGGACCCAUGGGGGGGGACACCCAUGUCAGUGGGGUGCCAUAGGCAGGAUGACAUGAAUGGGGUGACAUGGGCAGUGUGACACGACCAGCGCUGUCCCCAUCGGUGCCCCACACCGAUAUACAGGGGGGUGACCACGGCGCCACCAGCGCUGGGUGCUGGGACCUGGCACGGGCAGAGGGACAGGACCGGGAGACCCGGAGAGCUCCCAGCAGGAGCCGGGUAAUAAAUAGAGCCUCGGGACCGCGAACCGGGGCCGGUGGCACCGGGGUUGGGGGGCGGGUGACACCAGGGGCUGGUGGCAUCACCCGCAAGCCCGGGGGGGGCCGUGGCUACACGAGCGCGGUGUGCGGCUCGCAGGGCCCGCAGCUGCUCCUGCGGCGGGGGCCGGGGGCGCUGUCGGCGCUGUCGGCGCUGUCGGCGAACCCCUCGCCGGGGCAGCCGUGCUGCAGCAGGAUGUCGGCGCACUCCCGGCUGCCGGCGCGGCGCGCAUAGAACAGCGCCGUGUGCCCGCGGCCGUCCCGCGCCCGCACGUCGGCUCCGUGCUGCGGGGACACGGCAGCAGCUGCGUGAUGACUACGAGCCCCAUGUCACAGGCCACAUGCAGCGCCGGGCGCCCAUCCCCGUCCCCAGCGCGGACGUUGAGCUGCUCCUUCUUGCUGUGGGCCAGGAGCAGCAGCACCAGCUCCAGGUCCUUGUCCUGCACGGCUCGGAGGAGCUGCUCCCCCAGCGGCCC